GAUGAACGCUGGCGGCGUGCUUAACACAUGCAAGUCGAACGGUUCCUCCGGAGCUUGCUCUUGUGGAUCAGUGGCGAACGGGUGAGUAACACGUGAGCAACCUGCCCCUGACUCUGGGCUACGCGCUGGAAACGGCGUCUAAUACUGGAUAUGUGAUGUGACCGCAUGGUCUGCAUCUGUGAAGAAUUUCGGUUGGGGAUGGGCUCGCGGGCUAUCAGCUUGUUGGUGAGGUAAUGGCUCACCAAGGCGUCGACGGGUAGCCGGCCUGAGAGGGUGACCGGCCACACUGGGACUGGAACACGGCCCAGACUCCUGCGGGAUGAAGAACUGGGGAAUAUUGCACAAUGGGCGGAAGCCUGAUGCAACACAGCCGCGUCAGGAAUGACGGCCUUCGGGUUGUAAACCUCUUACAGCAGGGCAGAAGCGAAAGUGACGGUACCUGCAGAAAAAGCACCGGCUAACUAAGAGCCAGCCGCCGCUGUAA
rnacentral:rRNA from 1 species